GAUGAACGCUGACAGAAUGCUUAACACAUGCAAGUCUACUUGAACUUCGGUUUGGGUGGCGGACGGGUGAGUAACGCGUAAAGAACUUGCCUCACAGUUAGGGACAACAUUUGGAAACGAAUGCUAAUACCUGAUAUUAUGAUUUUAGGGCAUCCUAGGAUUAUGAAAGCUAUAUGUGCUGUGAGAGAGCUUUGCGUCCCAUUAGCUAGUCGGAGAGGUAACGGCUCACCAAGGCGAUGAUGGGUAGCCGGCCUGAGAGGGUGAACGGCCACAAGGGGACUGAGACACGGCCCUUACUCCUACGGGAGGCAGCAGUGGGGAAUAUUGGACAAUGGACCAAAAGUCUGAUCCAGCAAUUCUGUGUGCACGAUGACGUUUUUCGGAAUGUAAAGUGCUUUCAGUUGGGAAGAAAAAAAUGACGGUACCAACAGAAGAAGUGACGGCUAAAUACGUG
rnacentral:rRNA from 1 species